rnacentral:rRNA from 1 species
GAUGAACGCUGGCGGCGUGCUUAACACAUGCAAGUCGAACGGAAAGGCCGAAGCUUGCUUCGGUACUCGAGUGGCGAACGGGUGAGUAACACGUGGGUGAUCUGCCCUGUACUUCGGGAUAAGCUUGGGAAACUGGGUCUAAUACCGGAUAUGACGAUCUCUUGGAUGGGGUUGUGGAAAGCUUUUGCGGUAUGGGAUGAGCUCGCGGCCUAUCAGCUUGUUGGUGGGGUAAUGGCCUACCAAGGCGUCGACGGGUAGCCGGCCUGAGAGGGUGUACGGCCACAUUGGGACUGAGAUACGGCCCAGACUCCUACGGGUGGCAGCAGUGGGGAAUAUUGCACAAUGGGCGCAGGCCUGAUGCAGCGACGCCGCGUGGGGGAUGACGGCCUUCGGGUUGUAAACUCCUUUCGCAAUCGACGAAGCCUUUUGGUGACGGUAGGUUGAGAAGAAGCACCGGCUAACUACGUG